GUGAUCACUUCAGCAGCACCUAUGCCAAAAUUUGAACAAAACAGAGGAGAUUAGUAAGGCUUCUGUGCAAGGAUGACAUGAAAAUUUGUGAAGCAUCCUUUGUACAUUUUU